GCCAGCAGCCAUAUCACCCUGCAGAUCUCAACUGGCUACCCACUGAAGCUCAGCAGGGUUAUGCCUGGUCAGUACUUGGAUGGAGACCUCCUGGGAAGCUAUGGUUGCUGCUGGAA
rnacentral:rRNA from 1 species